UCAGAUGACAGAUGCAGGUCAGCCCACAGCAUCCAGCUUCCCUAUACUGAGACAGAGAUUCAUGGACUUUCCUGCUGGGGAUGUCCUGAGACCAUGAUCCACCCAAUCUCAGCCGGUGGCAGACGACAGAACAUUGGACUCAGAAGCAAGGAAGUCUGAGCUCUUCUCCAAAGGCAAAGCCAUUAGCUGGUAGGGUCUGCUGCUCAGUUUUUCCCAAGAAGCCUCCCGCUAGGCGAGGAGGGGUCCGCACUGCGGGAAGCAAACCACCUCCCCGGCAAACCCAGAGCUCUCAACAUCUGCCAAUCUCCGGCCCAGGACUUCUCAGGACAAGCCGAAACGCCUACAGGGGUUGAGUGGCACCAAGGUAACUUACAAGAUUUAAAUUUAAUUGAUUGCUGGUAGUUGUGAACAAAUACAACUUUUGUCCCAGGUGUGUGCCAUUUUGAAGACAGUUUUUUUGUCCUUGAGGGUAAAAGGAAACCCUUUGGAAAACCUGUUUUACAUAGCAAAAAUUUGAUUCCUCAUAUGGAGUAAAAAAGGCCUAAACAACAAGACAUUGGUGGGAACAUUUAUCAAGCCACCCAACUCAGCUUGAAGAGUCAAAUGGAUCCUUCCACUGAGAAAUCAAGAUGGCAGUCCAGUAUGGCAAACUGAGGAAAAUGGAUUUAAUACAAGAGUGCUGUGAUGUGUACAACCAAGCAGGGUUCUUUAACAUGGAUUCCAUGAGACUGAAGAUACAGGUCUCUAACCCACCUCAUAUGGACAGUGGAUAUGACUUUCUAGAGACAUUCAUGUCAUUAAAAUUAGAAGAAAGAUGACAUCUAAACCAGAGGCUAGUUUGUAUUCCUGAACCUUUUUUGCAAUUUGAUUUAAAUAUGACCUCAUGGAAUGUUAACAUCAAUAAAACUUCUAACACUUGAAUUGA